GGCUGGUAUGAGUACAGUAGUGUUUACCACUAGUUGAUCACAACCAGUUUACAGACUUAUUUGUUCCUUCUUCACUCCCACUGCUCCACUUAACUAGCCUAAA
rnacentral:Y_RNA from 1 species